GAUGAAGAACGUAGCGAAAUGCGAUACUUGGUGUGAAUUGCAGAAUCCCGUGAACCAUCGAGUCUUUGAACGCAAGUUGCGCCCGAAGCCAUUAGGCCGAGGGCACGCCUGCCUGGGCGUCACACGUCGUUGCCCCCCCAUCUACUCCUUCGGGAUUGCGGGGGGCGGAUGAUGGCCUCCCGUGCGCCUCGUCGCGCGGUUGGCAUAAAUGCCAAGUCUUCGGCGACGCACGCCACGACAAUCGGUGGUUGCGAAACCUCGGUUGCCCGUCGUGUGCGGUCGUCGCGCAUCGAGGGCUCGAAAAAAUUGCCGGGCUCCGGCUCGGCUUUCAACGCGACCCCAGGUCAGGCGGGGUUACCCGCUGAAUUUAAGCAUAUCAAUAAGCGGAGGA
rnacentral:misc_RNA from 1 species